UAGGUAAUCUUCGGCAAUUGGGGGAACCCUGACCGAGCAACGCCGCGUGAUUGAAGAAUGUUUUCGGAUCGUAAAGCUCUGUUGUUAAGGAAGAACGAGUUUGAGAAUUGAAAGUUCAUACUGUGACGGUACUUAACCAGAAAGGGACGGCUAACUACGUGCCAGCAGCCGCGGUAAUACGUAGGUCCCGAGCGUUGUCCGGAUUUAUUGGGCGUAAAGCGAGCGCAGGCGGUUAGAUAAGUCUGAAGUUAAAGGCAGUGGCUCAACCAUUGUAGGCUUUGGAAACUGUUUAACUUGAGUGCAGAAGGGGAGAGUGGAAUUCCAUGUGUAGCGGUGAAAUGCGUAGAUAUAUGGAGGAACACCGGUGGCGAAAGCGGCUCUCUGGUCUGUAACUGACGCUGAGGCUCGAAAGCGUGGGGAGCGAACAGG
rnacentral:rRNA from 1 species